AAUACGGAGAGUUUGAUUCUGGCUCAGAACGAACGCUGGCGGCGUGGAUAAGACAUGCAAGUCGAACGGUGACUAAAAAGUAGUAAUAUUUUUUAGUUAUAGUGGCGAAAGGGUGCGUAACACGUGGGUAAUCUGCCGUAAUGUUUGGAAUAACUUGCCGAAAGGUAAGCUAAUACCGGAUGUGGAACUCUUGAGGCAUCUUAAGAGUUCCAAAGCUGGGGACCGCAAGGCCUGGCGCAUUAUGAUGAGCCCGCGGCCUAUCAGCUUGUUGGUGAGGUAAUGGCUCACCAAGGCUAAGACGGGUAGCCGGUCUGAGAGGACGGUCGGCCACACUGGAACUGAGACACGGUCCAGACACCUACGGGUGGCAGCAGUCGAGAAUCAUUCACAAUGGGGGAAACCCUGAUGGUGCGACGCCGCGUGGGGGAUGAAUGGCUUCGGUCAGUAAACCCCUGUCAUUAGUGAACAAACCUUUUAGGGUAAUACCUUAAAAGCUGAUAGUAGCUAAAGAGGAAGGGACGGCUAACUCUGUGCCAGCAGCCGCGGUAAUACAGAGGUCCCAAGCGUUGUUCGGAUUCACUGGGCGUAAAGAGUGCGUAGGUGGCUAGGUAAGUUUGAUGUGAAAGCUCCGAGCUCAACUCGGAAAUUGCAUUGAAAACUGCUUGGCUAGAGGGUCGGAAGGGAGACUGGAAUUUUCGGUGUAGCAGUGAAAUGCGUAGAUAUCGAGAGGAACACCAGUGGCGAAGGCGAGUCUCUGGACGAAUCCUGACACUGAGGCACGAAAGCUAGGGGAGCAAACAGGAUUAGAUACCCUGGUAGUCCUAGCCGUAAACGGUGCACACUUGCUAUGAGCGGAUUCGACCCCGUUCGUGGCGUAGCUAACGCGUUAAGUGUGCCGCCUGGGGAGUACGGUCGCAAGAUUAAAACUCAAAGAAAUUGACGGGGGCCUGCACAAGCGGUGGAGUAUGUGGCUUAAUUCGAUGCAACGCGAAGAACCUUACCUGGCCUUGACAUGCUUGUGGUAAAACCCUGAAAGGGGAAUGACCUCGCAAGAGGAGCUUGCACAGGUGCUGCAUGGCUGUCGUCAGCUCGUGUCGUGAGAUGUUGGGUUAAGUCCCGCAACGAGCGCAACCCUUGUGUCCUGUUGCCACCCGAACUUCGGUUCGGAGCACUCUGGACAGACUGCCUCGCUUAAACGAGGAGGAAGGUGGGGAUGACGUCAAGUCAGUAUGGCCCUUACGGCCAGGGCUGCACACGUACUACAAUGCCUAAUACAAUGGGACGCAAUACCGCGAGGUGGAGCAAAUCCUUAAAAUUGGGCCCAGUUCGGAUUGUAGUCUGCAACUCGACUACAUGAAGCCGGAAUCGCUAGUAAUGGGGCAUCAGCUACGGCCCCGUGAAUACGUUCCCAGGCCUUGUACACACCGCCCGUCACAUCAUGAAAGCCGGUUGUACCCGAAGUCGCUGAGCUAACCCGCAAGGGAGGCAGGUGCCGAAGGUAUGGCUGGUGAUUGGGAUGAAGUCGUAACAAGGUAGCCGUAGGGGAACCUGCGGCUGGAUCACCUCCUUU
rnacentral:rRNA from 1 species